GUCGGACCGCAGUCCGCGUCUGCGCGUUUCGACCUUCACCUUGGCGGAUAAUCAUGGCGACGGACUCGUGGGCGCUGGCGGUGGAUCUGCAGGAGUCGGCAGCCGAGUCGCUGAGCAACCUAAAGCUGAAAGAAGAAACUUCAAAUGCUGAACCUAAAGAAGCAACGGUAAAGCACGAUCCAUCUGACAAACUGGACAAAACCGCUAAACUCGACAAAAGUGGUGAUAAUUUGGAAGUCAAGCAAGACGAUGAUGAUAAAGAGGAUAAGGCUGCCCAGUCUCUGUUGAAUAAGCUAAUCCGCAGUAAUCUGGUUCAAUCGACACAUCAAGUUGAAGUACUCCAGAGAGAUCCAAAUUCCCCUCUAUACUCUGUGAAGUCAUUUGAAGAACUACAUUUGAAAAAAGAUCUUCUGCAAGGAGUCUAUGGAAUGGGAUUUAACAGGCCUUCAAAGAUCCAGGAGACCGCGUUACCCAUGAUGCUUGCAGAACCCCCUCAGAAUUUGAUUGCACAGUCUCAGUCAGGUACUGGUAAGACAGCUGCCUUUGUUCUGGCCAUGCUCAGUCGUGUAGAUCUCUCCCAAAGGCACCCACAGUGUUUAUGCCUUUCUCCAACCUAUGAACUGGCUUUGCAGACUGGGCAGGUUAUUGAACAAAUGGGAAAGUACUGUCCUGAUAUCAAGCUAGCUUAUGCAGUUCGAGGCAACAGACUUGAGAAGGGUCAGAAGAUUUCAGAACAAAUUGUUAUUGGCACACCCGGGACAGUUAUGGAUUGGUGCACAAAACUGAGAUUCAUAGAUACCAAGAAAAUUAAAGUUUUUGUCCUAGAUGAGGCUGAUGUCAUGAUUGCAACUCAAGGCCACCAAGACCAGAGCAUUAGAAUUCAGAGAAUGUUGCCUAAAGACUGUCAGAUGCUGCUAUUCUCAGCUACAUUUGAAGAGUCUGUGUGGAAAUUUGCCCAAAAGGUUGUUCCAGAGCCUAAUAUUAUCAAGUUGAGGCGGGAGGAAGAAACCUUAGAUACAAUUAAACAAUAUUAUGUCCUUUGUGACAACAAAGAAGAGAAAUACCAUGCUCUGUGCAAUAUUUAUGGAGCGAUUACCAUAGCACAGGCCAUGAUCUUCUGUCAUACUCGCAAGACUGCUGGUUGGCUGGCAGCUGAAUUGUCUAAAGAGGGUCAUCAAGUAGCACUGCUAAGUGGAGAGAUGAUGGUAGAGCAACGAGCCGCUGUGAUCCAGCGCUUCCGGGAUGGCAAAGAGAAAGUACUUGUCACAACUAAUGUCUGCGCAAGAGGAAUUGAUGUUGAGCAGGUCUCCGUCGUCAUAAACUUUGACCUUCCAGUGGAUAAAGAUGGUAAUCCAGAUUGCGAGACAUACCUUCACAGAAUUGGACGAACAGGUCGUUUUGGCAAACGUGGCUUGGCCAUUAACAUGGUGGACAGUAAAUACAGCAUGAAUAUCCUCAACCGAAUCCAAGAUCAUUUCAAGGAGGAGGUACUGAAUGUCUUGAAACGCAUAAAAGUGGAUAAAUCCCCAGGACCUGUUGAGGUGUACUCUCGAACUCUGUGAGAAGCGGUUGCUGGACCCCUUGCUGAGGUAUUUGUAUCAUCAAUAGCCCCAGACAAGAGAAUUGAAAAGCUUGAUACAGAUGACCUUGAUGAGAUUGAAAGGAUUGCUAACUGAAGUGCAACAGGCUGAACUAGUUUAAACCCUUCUGAACCCUGUGACAACGUGCACUGCCCAGCUGCAAUUGGACUUUUGGACUUGGAAUCCAUUGGGUUAUUCUGCAGCCAAUUUUAAGAAUAGACUGACAGAAUCAAAUUAUGUUGAAUUUACCUCAUUUAAAACUUUGCAGUUGGACUGUAAAAUUUUAUACUUUUCCUUCAAGUGAAUAAAACAUGCCAGGAAAAUGUUUACAUUUGAAAUGUUCAACAUGCUUUAUAAAGUUUCUCUUAGUUAACCUUUAAAAACAAAAAAUAGAAAUAAAAUUUGAAUUGCCAAACUGAAAAAGUAGGAGUUGUAACAAUGUUAAGGAAGAAUGGCCUUUUCCAAUAGGUGGACUGCAUUUUAAUGGGUUACAAGCAUAGGUAUAAAAAUGGAUGCUUAAAUUAAUUGAAAAAAAUUGGUCUUACGCAAAAAUGCCAUGACACUCUAACACUUCAUGAUUAUCCUUCAUUAUUUUGCAUACGAAUUAGAGAAUGUAUUGGGUUUUUACUGUCACUUCAGCUGUGACGAAUUGUUAAUUUAGCUUUAUUUCAGAUGUGAUUUACUCAUGACUAGCUUUCUCCUAGAUCAGUGAAAUUAUUUUUGAUUUAGUUAUUAAGCCCAUACCUUUUAUUCAGAAGUAUCUUCAGUUAUACUCAGCCUAAAGUUACUGCAGACUGAAAAUAAACACUCUUGUCAUAGUGCCACAUCAAAACCUCCAGAACUUCUUGAUAAUAAUUUGCUUUAUUGUUAGGGAUUCAAAAAAAUAAAUAAUUAAAGCUAAUAAUAACAUUUAAAAAUUCCCAGUACCUUAAAUAAGAAAAGUAAUUGUUUAACUAUAGUUCCUUUAAUAUUGAAAUGCUCAUAAGGAAAUUUAAGUUCUUGAUAUGAAUUGCGAAUCUGGUUUGAUUUUUACUUAAUGUUUGAAAGCUUGGGGAAGAGUAGCAUUGCUGGGCUGAAAUAAUUUAUGUUGAACAGUGAAACUUUGGACACAAAUCAAACUAAAAAUGCUCUUCAAAUAAGUAAUAUUACAUUAGCAUGUAAAGUGCUUUGCUCAAUUUAAGAGCUAGCAGGUGAUUUGUUUUUGAGAUUGCUGCACUGAAUGAACCUAUUCUAUAUAAUGAGCUCUGAAUGUCAUCUUAUGUAAGUUAUAGCUGCACAAAUAAUCUGUACCUUUGUCAGCCUUUAGAUUUGUAUCCAUUUUAUGCUGAAAAUGCUUGCGUGUGCUGCAAUGAGUAUAAACCAGAAACUAUUCACUGAAUUUUAGAAUUGGGAUAGCUUUGUAGACAUAUGUACCCUUCCGUUAAACAUGAGCCUUUUAUAUUGAAUGCUUAUGUUUGAAUUGACUUGUGAAAGUAUCUUUGCCAUACAAUAUCCUACUGUACAAGGAAGGUGGCUAGAAAAACCAAUGAAUUUGAGGUUUGACGUAACAAUCUAGUCAGACUUCUGCAGUAUGUGAACAUCAAUUCACCAGUGUAUUAUUUAUCACUGAUACAAGGUCCACAUUUAUUGAAUGGUUAACAUUCCUAUCAAUUAAAUUUCUACAUAGGCCAACUAUUUUUAAACCAUUUCACAAAAAAAAGUAUUCCUUAAAUAUGAGUUUGGAAGUCCACAUUUUUAUAUUUCUGUUGGAAAGCAGAGAUUGGAUCACUAUUCCUGCUUGUGAAUGAAGUCCCUGCUUGAAUCUUUAUUCUUUUUGUGUCUUGGAUAUGUUCAACAGUUACUUUGAGGUAACUGUCAUUGCAGUAUACCAGCUUUACUGGCACAUUCUUUUUUUAAAAAAAAAUUAGUGUUAAAAGACAAGUAAUUUGAAGAGCAUAGCAAUUUUAUUUAAAAAGGGAAUUCCUGGUUUGGCAAAAGAUUAUUUGCAAUUUAUGGCCAGCUGUUGAAAAUCUUACUGUUUAUAUUUCUCAAGUAAUGUCUUCAAUUGGUGACUGUUGCAGCUUUACAUACUGAAAACUGGUUAAAGAUCACACCCCACAUUGGAAGUGUUUAAAAAUUUGGGGUAAGGAACUAAAAAUACAGUCUGAGAAAAUAAAAUACUUAUUCUUAUGCAAUAUAUUGGCUGUAUAAUUCUGUUCAAAUACAGGAACAAAUGAAACUUUUACCAAGUAAAAAUUGAAACUAAUUUGAGAUUGUACCUAAAGUUUUAGGAAAAUUUGACAAAAUGCCCUCUCUUCAAAUAUUUGUAUAUGAACUUUACCUUGCAAUGACUGUGCAGCUUAAAUUACUGUAUUGAAUUUUGUACGAUAGGGUGUAUGCAUUUGUACGCAAUGCAUUUUUAUUUGGUUGUGAGCUGGAUUGUAAUUGGAAAUAUUGAAACUGCAGAAAUGAAUGAGUGCUUUGAGUGUCAUAAUGAAUUUGAGAUUGAAAUGCCUCUAAUUUUACAAACUAUAAAAGAUCUUUGAAAGCCCUUACAACAAAGGAAACUAAUUUUGCUGAUUGGUUUCCGUAUUACUCUUAUGUACUAUUUGGAAUAAAGAGUCAGUACGUCA